UUAUGCGAUGAAAUCAUUUUGAUCUAAAUUUGCCGCCCCUGAGCUCUCCACACUGAAGAUGUGAAACCCCAGAAGUUGAGGGGGUGAUCGAGUCUGUAGUAACGAACCGAAACCAGUUUAGAAUUGUAAACUUUAACUUAAAUCUGUACUGUGUCCGCCAUUGUUGUCAGACUCAGACUCAGUUAAACUUGCUAUGAUAUGAUACGGAAAGUAUUGUUGUGAUCUGUUUACAGUGCAUUAAGAUUGUACCCGUUUGGCAUCAACCAGAGCACCGUUACUAUCGAGGAUUGUAUUUCACCUAAAUACCAUUUCUCCAAGCCCAGACUGAUUUUUAAAAGUUAAAUAUAUCUUUAAAACCUGAAACAUAGUUGCUUCUCCUCCAUGAGAUCCUGGUUUACUUACUGGACACUCUCCAACAGUUCUUUAAAUAAUUAGAAAGAUGUUAAUAAAUUAUUUUUAAUUAUUU